rnacentral:rRNA from 1 species
GCAAGUCGACGGUGAAGCCCAGCUUGCUGGGUGGAUCAGUGGCGAACGGGUGAGUAACACGUGAGCAACCUGCCCCGGACUCUGGGAUAAGCGCUGGAAACGGCGUCUAAUACUGGAUACGAGACGUGAUCGCAUGAUCAACGUUUGGAAAGAUUUUUCGGUCUGGGAUGGGCUCGCGGCCUAUCAGCUUGUUGGUGAGGUAAUGGCUCACCAAGGCGUCGACGGGUAGCCGGCCUGAGAGGGUGACCGGCCACACUGGGACUGAGACACGGCCCAGACUCCUACGGGAGGCAGCAGUGGGGAAUAUUGCACAAUGGGCGGAAGCCUGAUGCAGCAACGCCGCGUGAGGGAUGACGGCCUUCGGGUUGUAAACCUCUUUUAGCAGGGAAGAAGCGAUAGUGACGGUACCUGCAGAAAAAGCGCCGGCUAACUACGUGCCAGCAGCCGCGGUAAUACGUAGGGCGCAAGCGUUAUCCGGAAUUAUUGGGCGUAAAGAGCUCGUAGGCGGUCUGUCGCGUCUGCUGUGAAAACCCGAGGCUCAACCUCGGGCCUGCAGUGGGUACGGGCAGACUAGAGUGCGGUAGGGGAGAUUGGAAUUCCUGGUGUAGCGGUGGAAUGCGCAGAUAUCAGGAGGAACACCGAUGGCGAAA